UACGGGGGGAGCAAGCGUUGUUCGGAUUUACUGGGCGUAAAGGGCGCGUAGGCGGCCAUCUAAGUCAGACGUGAAAUCCCCCGGCUUAACCUGGGAACUGCGUCUGAUACUGGACGGCUUGAGUAUGGGAGAGGGAUGUAGAAUUCCAGGUGUAGCGGUGAAAUGCGUAGAUAUCUGGAGGAAUACCGGUGGCGAAGGCGGCAUCCUGGACCAUUACUGACGCUGAGGCGCGAAAGCUAGGGGAGCAAACGGG
rnacentral:rRNA from 1 species